rnacentral:rRNA from 1 species
AUCUCCCUACGGGGGGCAGCAGUGAGGAAUAUUGGUCAAUGGGCGGGAGCCUGAACCAGCCAAGCCGCGUGAGGGAAGAAGGUACAGCGUAUCGUAAACUCCUUUUAUCAGGGACGAUAAUGACGGUACCUGAAGAAAAAGCUCCGGCUAACUACGUGCCAGCAGCCGCGGUAAUACGUAGGGAGCGAGCGUUGUCCGGAAUUACUGGGUGUAAAGGGAGCGUAGGCGGGACGGCAAGUCAGAUGUGAAAACUGAGGGCUCAACUUUCAGACUGCAUUUGAAACUGCUGUUCUUGAGUGAAGUAG